ACUUCAUGCGAUUGGAUAUGAGAGAAGAAAAGUUCCGUGCACAUGAGAGAGAGAAAAGAAAACUGCCCACGUUUCAGCCUGACGUCAGAUCCUUUGUGGCUAUGUUCCCUAUGUCCCUAGGUGUGGCCCUGCAUGUGGCAAGUCUUCAGCCAAUUAUAUCACGCCACAUGUUUUUCAGUCCCCGGCUAAUUGGAUAUGCGUCAUUAUUUGCGUUAAAUAUUCGUUUUAAUUCAUUCGAGUCAUGUUAGCUUCGUAAUAACGUUGACAACAUGUUAAUAACAUUAUUCUGUUCGUACACAAGUUUUAAUUAAUUAGUUAAUUAUUUGUUCAUCUGAUAUUUAUUAAAAUAUCAAUAUAAUUAAACUAAUCUAUAAUUUUAAUUUGCGCUUUUAUAAAUACAAAUUAAUGUGAUUAAUGCCAACUUUAAUGUUUUCAACUAAUAUUUGUUUCAUGUAAAAGCGACAUCUAUUUGUGAUUUUCGCGUUUCUUCGUGCAUGGCGCGCGUGCUAUUCGCGCACGUCAUAGCGCGUCGGCCACGCGCUGUUUUCAAGCAUUGUCGUGUGUCGCGCGCACGAUCCACACACAUUAGUUAAUCGUUUCGCUAUAGUCGUUCAUGCUUAUUAAUUAAUUCUUGUUUAAUCGUUGACUAAUCGAUAAUUCUAUUUAUCUAAAAUAUCUUACGCAAAUAAUUUUGUGCGUUUAAUCACAAUUUAGUAGUAUUCGUUGGUAGCGUCGUCGUUUGUUAGUCGCAAAUGGUCAGUUAUUUGAUAUAUAAUGCGUCGUAAACCCAUUUCUACUCGUCUUGGUCGCGUGCUGAGUCGCUCGUCGUUCACGCGUGCCGCGAGCAUUGUUUCGUGUAUGUCGUGCGCAUUGCCGCACGCGUUAUUAAAUGGUUCCAUGUUAGCUGCUCGUAUUAACUAAGUAAUUCUCGUUCAAUUGUCGAGUAAUAAAGUAAUUGUUCAAUCGGAUCGAAUUUAUGAGUUUAAUUAUGCGAUUGUAAAUACAUAGUAAUGUGAUUUUUAACCACUUAGAUGUUGUAUGGAAUGUCUAGUUAGUGUUUAGUAUAAAAACAACAGUUCAAUCGAAUCUAGUUUAUAAUUUCAAUUAUGCGUCGGUAGAUAUUUGGUAACGUGUUGUCAUGCGUGUCCGUCUCCCGUUGUUCCGCGCAUGUCAUGUGUGUAGUCGUCGUCUAUUUUCUUGUUCGUGCGCGCGCCGCCAUGCGUCCGGUCCGCAUGUUAAAUCAUGUGUUGUUUUGCACGUGUCGUUCAUGUAAAUCGCAAUUGGCACGCUUCAAUAGGAUCACUUCGCCAUAUCGUUCAUGUUAAAUACUUGAUUAAUUGUUUAGUAUUCAGUUAUUAAAGUAAGAAUUUAAUUAGAACGAGUCUAUAGUUUUAACUCGUGCUUUUAUAAAUACAAAUGUUAAUUGACUCGGUUAAUACCAGCUUAAAUACUUUUAUUUAUUCGUUUGUUGUUGUUCGCACGCUGCAUCGUUUGCGCGUCAGCGUGCUGUUCGCGCACGUAGUCGCGUUGACUCGCGUGUAUCACGCACGGUUGUGUGCGUUGUUUCGCGUACGCGCAGCGUGGCGUCGGGGUCCCGACGACAUCCGUCUACCCCUAGACGACGUUCGUCUACUGUAGACGACACCCGUCUACCCCCUGAACCCGUUCGUCUACCCCUUCGUCUACCCCUGGAACAUCGUUUGACUUUAAAAUCUAAUUUAAGAAUUCGAUUUGCACCAACAUGAUUAAUCUUAACUGAAAUAUUCUUUGUUAAUAAUUGCUUAGAUUAAUCAUGCUUUUAUUUAUUAGUUUUUCAUGUAGCUUGCCUUGCCACGCGUCUGGUUCGUGUGUCGCGCGACGUCUGCGUGUGAUAAUAAAUUAGUUUCGUUUGUAACUCAUGUUGGUAACGUUAACUUGUCGGGUCGCUUAUUUUAGAUAAUUAACUUAAGGUUUGCUCGGCUAAUAUUCAUUAGACUAAUAUUUAUAACUAUAUUAAAUGUGUAGUGUUCCACGUGAGCUUUUAUAAUAAAUAUUAUCAUGGCUAGUAUUAACUUAACUACUUUUAUUUAUUAAAUAUUUGUUUAGUACAAAUGCGUUACCUAUUUUAUUUUCUCGCCUGUCGCGCGUGCUGUUCCACGCGUGGUGGCGUCCUCGUUUGCGCUGGUCGAGCGUUGUUUCGUGUGUCGUCAGCGUGCUAUGUCGCGCGUGUCCGCGCGUCGUUUGCACGCUGUCGUGCUGUUUCACGCGUCAUAAAUUCAUCUCGCAGAAUCUAUCAUUUUAAUUAAAUUAUUUAAUUAACAGACAUUUGUUAGCGUAUCAGAUUAAUCGAAACUAACUGAUGUAUAAUAUUUAUGUUUGAUCAUGUUGAACUAAAAGUUGUUGUUAAUACUUGUUUAACGUUAACGCGCUAACUUCUCAACUGUAACUUCGAGUUCGACGUUUCUUUCCCUCGCGUGACCAUAGAAUCGAGCUCUAUUUUAUGCUGCAUGUUUUUAUAACAAUUUAUCAUGUAUGGUGUAAUGUUCUUAUGCAUAUACAUAUGUUUGUUUGUUUGUGCCUGUUGGUAUUCGUUGUGCGUCGCAAAUAGUUUGCGAUCCGUUUCCGAGCUUCGAGAGAUCGAAGGUCAAGCUUUGGUGACCAAGUGAUCAAGCUCCUCGAGCUCUACGAGAUUGAAGAUUCUGAGCAUCUGUUUGGUGAAGGCAAGUGUCCUCUGACCCAUUAUGUCCUAUUCACUUAUAAUUCACUUUCCCGCAGUAUUUAAUUGAAAUCUAAGGAUUGACUAGCUUUGUACUUUACCUUAUCCUUGAUGACCUUUUUGGGUGAUUAUGGUUAGCGUUUUGCUAUUGCCUUAACUUAAUCAAUGAACAUGAUGUGACUAUUUAUGAUACGAUACUGUUAUCCUGAUUAUAUUGUUGAUCUUGUGAUACUCUAGGGGGCUCAGGCUGUUUCCUGAGUACCUCUCCGUAAGGACCUGUUCGUUGAGAGACCACCCGGGAUAACAGUGCAACCAUGAGGGUGGAAUGGGGUGCCCUUAGCUAAUUAAUUAGAGGAACUAGAAGUGUAGUUGCUUCGCCGUCGUGCCGUCAAUGGGGUCCAGGCACAGUGCUUGCUCUGCCGAGGCUGAGUGCCGAGGUUCUUUCGUUUUGUUUUUUAGUCACCCUCCUGCGGGGAGAGGUACUGUGUUUAUCAAACUGGAGAAACCUAACGGGCAGCUAUGACCUCUAGGGAAUCUUUGUAAAGGCUUCGUAGUGAAUCCCUGGCCAUUCACCUUGGGAGUGAAUAAGGGUCUUGCAAGCCCGGGCUAGAGAGGGAAUCACGGCUCAUGGGUAAAGUGUGCGACCUCUGCAGAGGGUAGUGAAACUGAUAUAUCAGCCGUGCUCACGGUUAAGAGCAGCCUUGGGAUCCUCUUUGAUUAGAGAUACGAAUGGUUCGAGAUACAAUGGUUCUAUUUAUGAUUUUGGUUCGAUGAUGAUAAUGAUGUUCCUCGAUGAGGAAAUGAUUCACGGGUUAGUUAUUGCUAAAACCUGGCUUCACUAAUAAUAAAUACCUGACCAACUAAAAGCAACUGCUUGAGCCUAACCCCACAUAAAGCUAGUCCACCUCAGCCAAACGGGACAUUUGCUGAGUACGUUGAUGUGUACUCACCCUUGCUUUCAUAAAACACCAGGUUGCCUUUGGUGCAAUCUAUGCUCAGGUAAAGAAGAAGGUGUCGAGGUGGACCUUCAGGAGUUCCAGGACGUUGAUGAGUUCGAGGAUUAGGCUAGCGACCUCCCCCAGUCAGCUGCCUGUGGUGGGUUGUUUACGUUGGCUACGUUUCGAUUCUGCGUACUUUGAUUUAUAUUAUGUAAAUAACUCUAGUCUGUAAUAUUAUUACUUACUCUUUAUUGUAAUUCGAAGCAUUGUGCUAUGAUGAGUCAUUUAUGUAAUCGCUGUGUACGUGAAUUUCUGAUCCUGGCACGUACAUGGUUCGCAUUCGGUUUACCUUCAAAACCGGGUGUGACAUAAGUGGUAUCAAAGCCAUGCUGACUGUAGGACCGUUGGCCUAGAGUAGCAUUGGCCGUGUUAAGGACUUAUUGACUAUUACUUCACCUCAUCCUUGAUUCUGCUUCAAAAUAUUAGUCACCUCGACUAAUUCUAUGUUGUGCUCCUAUAUGCCUCCUUGCCAAAAGUAUUUUAUUCUAGUAUGGUCUAUACUUCUCUCAAUCUAUUAGAUCUGAUCUCACCUUGUGCUUGCGACAUCUUUGUAGAUGCCCCUGACCAUAACCUUCUUGUCUUUUGGGAUUCAUUUCUCUUCCAUCAUUAAAUUGCUACCAUUUGACCAUCUCUAUUCCCUUGGUAUUGACAUGCUUGUAUCCCUAUAUUCUUCAAUACUCUUGUUUCAAAUGCUUACAUCAGAAUUUCUACUGCAUACUUAAACAUUUCAGUUUAUAUAUCCAUGAUCUUCGUAUCUUUUGAGACCCUUUCCUCUUCUGUUGUUAGGUCGUUAUCUUUUGGCAAUUUUCAUUUCCUUAGUCUUGUUGUACUCAUGUCCUUGGAGUCUUGCAUAUUCUCAUAUUUUUUAUGGAUGAUUAUCUUCAUACCCCAAUGUCUAUUUAAGACAUUUCAGUUAACCUGCCCUUGACCACCCUUGUUUAUUAAUGAUCCAUGAACAACCAUUUUAUUUUGCACAUCCUUGGUGAUCUCGUUAAUUCCUUGUAACUUCCUUCGGUAAUGAUUUUUUUACUUCAACUCUUCUGUCGGAACCUCACUUAUCUGAUCCUUGAUUGUUUUCUCCACUUCGCCACUUUGCGAGUCUUGCCUUAACUCUGUCCAGGGUUAUGCUUUUCAUAAUUAUCACCCUUACCCUUAUCACCUCUAUAUCUUACCUUAAUGUUUAUCUUAUACCGACCCUUUAAAAUCUCCUCUUUUCAUCUCAAUACUAGCAUUAUACUUUACCUAUUUUUUCCCUUGGUUGUAUCCUCUUCCUUGUCGCUUGCUAGUUUUUAACUCCAUCCUUUGUUGUGCUUCGGUUGGGUACUACCUUUACCUUUCUCAUCUCUCGAUCUUACCUUGGUAAUUACACUAUGUAUGUUCUAUAAAAUCUUCAAUAUCCUAUCCUAGUUUAGGAGCAUUGUUUUACUUACCCCACCCUUGGCAAUAUCCUCUUCUUUACCGCGGGUAAGCCUGGGCGCAAAUCCAUUCUUUGUUGUACUCAUACCACUGGCUCUCCCAUGCCUUCAUUUUUUUUCUCUCAUACCCUUGUUUGUUAUCGCCUUUGACCUUGCGAUAUUGAGGUAUUCUACUUAAAUGCUUACCUUGAACUUAUCCUCUAAAAGCCUCCCCUUUCUUUCAACCCAGUUUGAGAGCUGUGAGUUACCUAUCUCUCCCUUGAUUUCUUUUCUCUCCUUGUCAUCUUACAAGUUUUGACUUAAUCCCACCCUUUGUUGUGUUUUUAUUCACUAUCACCAUCACCUUGUCAUCCGUCGAUCUUUCUUGGACACUCAUCUUUAUUCCCACUCUUUAAAAAUUCCCUCUCUUCUACCUCAAUUUGAGAGUGGCAGUUUACCUAUCUGGCCCUUGGACGUACCCUCAUUUUUUUACUUGCACAUCCUGUCUUAACUCCACCCUUUGUGGUAUUUAUAUCCUUGGUUCUUAUACCCAUUUACCUCAUCUUGUACAUCCUUGUCCAUUAUUACCUUUAAACCCUCGUGAUACCUAUGCCCUUGCCACAUGCCUACUUUCAACCUACCCUUUAAAGCCUCCUCCUUUUCAUCGCUGUUUGGGGAUAAUGUCUCACCUACUUCACCAUUGAUUGCUUCCCCUUCUUUGAUGCCUCACAAGUUUUGUCUAAAAUACAUCCUUGGUUGUGUUUGCCUGUUAUCACCUUAACCCUUGUCAUCCCUUGAUCUUUACCAUGAUGCUUAGCCUGUACCUACAUUUUAAAGCUGCCUCCCCCAUUUCAUUUCAAGAGCGAUGUCUUACCCAUCCCGCUCUUGUCUAUUACCUUUUCCUCUAUCACAUUGCAAGUCUUGUCCUAACUCUAUCUUUUGGUGUGCUUUUGCCUUUUACCUCCGUUGCCUUUGUAAUAUCUAGAGAUUUCCAUGAUGCUUAUCUUAUGCCUACCUUUUGACUUAUCAUCUUUCCCAUCUCGAUUUCAAAAUGGUGUUUUACCUAUCCUGACCUUGAUUUCAUUCUCUCCCUGUCGGUUCCAAUUCUUGCUUCAGCUUCAUCCUUUAUUAUGCUCAUGCCCCUAUCCUGCAUGUUUUAUUAUUCCCCUUGCCUUUCGAUGGCCUUAGAGUAGUUUCCCCUUAGUAAGGAAAGACCACCAUUUAAUUAGAAGGAACGUAUUGCAACGAGACGUUUGUUGUUGUAUGCUUGUGUUGUUUGUCUUUGUGUGAUGACUGAUUUGCUUCUUUGUGAUGAGUGUUGAUGUGUUGUGGUCCUGGGUCCGCAAUGACAUCCGUUUACUAGGUGAGUGUCAUAGAGUUAAGUAGUUGGGUUCUCCCCCUGCUCUCUCUAAUCCGUCUAUACUUACCUUUUCUCGCUAUUCUUUUCUCUUGCACCUGUCCAUUUGGCAACCUCCAACUCCUCCAAAUCAGUCAAGAUCAGAGUCGGCAACAUCUUCACCAAGUGCAUAUCAACACCCAUGUUAAGGGGGUUAGCCGCUAACCCCAAUGAAGACAAUGCGAUCAACAUCAACCAACAAGAUCAGAGUGGCGCAGCGAAAGCAUGUGUGAGUCCUAACCCAUAGGUCAUAGGAUCCUCAAGUAUCGUCUUACGUGGUCGUGAACGCCUGAAGAUCAAAUCAAUCAGUCCGUAUGUUAAGCUGGCAGAGCCAAUGUUGAAUCGAAGAAGCUAUGAAAAACCGAUGAACCAAUCUCAUUUUCUUGCUAGCUUCUUCUUGAAUCUCGAGGGCGAGAUUCCUGUUAAGGGGGUUAGAUUUGUAACACCCUGAAUUUAGGGGUAUAAAAUUUCUUUUCUAAUAUCCACCAAAUUCAGGUGUUACUCUCUAAGUUCUUCGUUUUCCUUCUCUUUUUUCUAAAAAUGGAGAAUUAUUUUGUUAUAUACAUUUAUAUAAAUUUUUUUGCGUAGUAAAAUAAAAUCCAAAAAGGGUCCUUGAUUGUUGCAUGGCUUGCCGAGACAUUGUUUUGUAUGUUGUUUUUUUUGUGGUCGUGUACCCAUUUAAACUCAUAAAGUAUAUUUGGAUCUUGGAUUCAAAAGAUAUAUCUAAAUUCGAAUAGAAUAGAUUAAAGGAAAGGGAGAAAUAGAAAGCCGCCCCCUCUUCUUGGGCUGCCCGCGUGGUCGGCCCAACGCGCGUGGGCAUGGCAAACCGCACGUCGUGCCUUGUGGCUGCGCCUAGAAACCACUAUCAUUCUCUCUCCCUUUCCCAUCUUCUCUCCCUGAUGCUCGCAACUGCCACUACCCCUAUCACCUGGUGGUUGCCGAUCCCAGCGCCCAAAUCCAAAGCACCCCGGCGAGCGCCCAGACGCCCAGCUUGGCUGUCUCGGCGCGACCUCUUCUUCUCCGGCGAGUCCUUCGACCAGGUGAGUUCUCCUCCUUUUCUUUGUGUUGGAUUGAACCUUCGUAGCGCGUUCUUUUUUCGUCCUCGGCAAACUUGCCAUGCAGUUUCGUGACCGAAUUGUCCUGCGCGCGUUGUCUAGCUAAGUUGUCGCGCGCUGCUAUCCUCGCUCCAUCGAGCUUGCGCCUCCCACGCACGCAGCCGCGCCCUGCUUCUCCAACUUGGCAUGGCAGCCUGUUGCUCGGCCCCGGCCGACGUGCCCCCUGUGCCGCAGGCCGCUCGACCUGCUCCUCCGGCCUCCGCAUACAUGCUCCCCUGCGCAGGGCGUGGCGCGGCAGCCGGCCUGCGCGGUAGACACGCCAGCGCGGCGGCUCGCCCGUGUGGUCAGGCAUCCGGCCCUGGCUCCCUAGCCUUGGCGCCAUGGUCGGCCACUCGGCCAGGCUCCAGCCGCAGCGUGCCUAGGUGCCCAGCGCCCUCACCUCGGCUAUGGCCAUGGCCAGCCCCCAGCCUAGAGCACCGGCUCCCCCUCCCAUGCCCACGUCCCCUCCUUCUCCCUCCCCUUGCUGCUGAUUCCAUGGAGAAAGAUGGAUGAAGGAAGAAGAACUUCAUGCGAUUGGAUAUGAGAGAAGAAAAGUUUCGUGCACAUGAGAGAGAGAAAAGAAAACUGCCCACGUUUCAGCCUGACGUCAGAUCCUUUGUGGCUAUGUUCCCUAUGUCCCUAGGUGUGGCCCUGCAUGUGGCAAGUCUUCAGCCAAUUAUAUCACGCCACAUGUUUUUCAGUCCCCGGCUAAUUGGAUAUGCGUCAUUAUUUGCGUUAAAUAUUCGUUUUAAUUCAUUCGAGUCAUGUUAGCUUCGUAAUAACGUUGACAACAUGUUAAUAACAUUAUUCUGUUCGUACACAAGUUUUAAUUAA
rnacentral:lncRNA from 1 species